rnacentral:tRNA from 1 species
GCCCUCGGUGGCUCAGAUGGAUAGAGCGUCUGCCAUGUAAGCAGGAGAUCCUGGGUUCGAGUCCCUGUCGGGGCA